rnacentral:rRNA from 1 species
GAUGAACGCUGGCGGCGUGCCUAAUACAUGCAAGUCGAGCGAACAGACGAGGAGCUUGCUCCUCUGACGUUAGCGGCGGACGGGUGAGUAACACGUGGAUAACCUACCUAUAAGACUGGGAUAACUUCGGGAAACCGGAGCUAAUACCGGAUAAUAUAUUGAACCGCAUGGUUCAAUAGUGAAAGACGGUUUUGCUGUCACUUAUAGAUGGAUCCGCGCCGCAUUAGCUAGUUGGUAAGGUAACGGCUUACCAAGGCGACGAUGCGUAGCCGACCUGAGAGGGUGAUCGGCCACCCUGGAACUGAGACACGGUCCAGACUCCUACGGGAGGCAGCAGUAGGGAAUCUGCCGCAAUGGGCGAAAGCCUGACGGAGCAACGCCGCGUGAGUGAUGAAGGUCUUCGGAUCGUAAAACUCUGUUAUUAGGGAAGAACAAAUGUGUAAGUAACUAUGCACGUCUUGACGGUACCUAAUCAGAAAGCCACGGCUAACUACGUG